rnacentral:rRNA from 1 species
GACGAACGCUGGCGGCGUGCUUAACACAUGCAAGUCGAACGAAGUGGCGAACGGGUGAGUAACGCGUAAUCAACCUGCCCUUCAGAGGGGGACAACAGUUGGAAACGACUGCUAAUACCGCAUACUGAAGGAGGGGAUUGCGUCUGAUUAGCUAGUUAGAGGGGUAACGGCCCACCAAGGCGAUGAUCAGUAGGCGGGUUGGGGGGGGGAACGGGCAACAUGGGACUGGAAAAAGGCCCCGAACCCUUCGGGAGGCAGCAAGUGGGAAUUUUCCGCAAUGGACGAAAGGUUGACGGGGCAACGCCGCGUGAGGGGUGACGGCCUUCGGGUUGUAAAGCUCUGUUAAUCGGGACGCGGUACCGGAAUAGAAAGCCACGGCUAACUACGUGCCAGCAGCCGCGGUAAUUC